rnacentral:rRNA from 1 species
CAGUAGCCGCGGGAAUACGUAGGUGGCAAGCGUUGUCCGGAAUUAUUGGGCGUAAAGCGCGCGCAGGCGGCUGUGUAAGUCUGUCUAGAAAGUGCGGGGCUAAACCCCGUGAGAGGAUGGAAACUGGACAGCUGAGAGUGUCGGAGAGGAAAGCGGAAUUCCUAGUGUAGCGGUGAAAUGCGUAGAUAUUGGGAGGAACACCGGUGGCGAAAGCGGCUUUCUGGACGACAACUGACGCUGAGGCGCGAAAGCCAGGGGAGCAAACGGGAUUAGAGACCCCAGUAGUCCCUGUCUCUUAUAC